rnacentral:rRNA from 1 species
GACGAACGCUGGCGGCGUGCUUAACACAUGCAAGUCGAACGGAAAGGCCCUGCUUUUGUGGGGUGCUCGAGUGGCGAACGGGCGAGUAACACGUGAGUAACCUGCCCUUGACUUUGGGAUAACUUCAGGAAACUGGGGCUAAUACCGGAUAGGAGCUCCUGCUGCAUGGUGGGGGUUGGAAAGUUUCGGCGGUUGGGGAUGGACUCGCGGCUUAUCAGCUUGUUGGUGGGGUAGUGGCUUACCAAGGCUUUGACGGGUAGCCGGCCUGAGAGGGUGACCGGCCACAUUGGGACUGAGAUACGGCCCAGACUGCUACGGGAGGCAGCAGUGGGGAAUAUUGCACAAUGGGCGGAAGCCUGAUGCAGCAACGCCGCGUGCGGGAUGACGGCCUUCGGGUUGUAAACCGCUUUCGCCUGUGACGAAGCGUGAGUGACGGUAAUGGGUAAAGAAGCACCGGCUAACUACGUG